rnacentral:rRNA from 1 species
GAUGAACGCUAGCUACAGGCUUAACACAUGCAAGUCGAGGGGUAACGAGAGGAAAGCUUGCUUUCCUUGUCGACGACCGGCGCACGGGUGAGUAACGCGUAUCCAACCUGCCCCCAACUAAGGAAUAACCUUGCGAAAGUAAGACUAAUACCUUAUAAUUUCCUCAGAUGUCAUCUGACGAGGAAUAAAGAUUUAUCGGUUGUGGAUGGGGAUGCGUCUGAUUAGCUUGUUGGCGGGGUAACGGCCCACCAAGGCAACGAUCAGUAGGGGUUCUGAGAGGAAGGUCGCCCACAUUGGAACUGAGACACGGCCCAAACUCCUACGGGAGGCAGCAGUGAGGAAUAUUGGUCAAUGGGCGGAAGCCUGAACCAGCCAAGUAGCGUGCAGGAUGACGGCCCUAUGGGUUGUAAACUGCUUUUAUACAGGAAUAAAGUUAGCCACGUGUGGUUAUUUGUAGGUACUGUAUGAAUAAGGACCGGCUAAUUCCGUGCCAGCCGCCGCAGUAA